AGUCGAGCGGAGAGAGGUAGCUUGCUACUGAUCUUAGCGGCGGACGGGUGAGUAAUGCUUAGGAAUCUGCCUAUUAGUGGGGGACAACAUUUCGAAAGGAAUGCUAAUACCGCAUACGUCCUACGGGAGAAAGCAGGGGAUCUUCGGACCUUGCGCUAAUAGAUGAGCCUAAGUCGGAUUAGCUAGUUGGUGGGGUAAAGGCCUACCAAGGCGACGAUCUGUAGCGGGUCUGAGAGGAUGAUCCGCCACACUGGGACUGAGACACGGCCCAGACUCCUACGGGAGGCAGCAGUGGGGAAUAUUGGACAAUGGGCGGAAGCCUGAUCCAGCCAUGCCGCGUGUGUGAAGAAGGCCUUAUGGUUGUAAAGCACUUUAAGCGAGGAGGAGGCUACUUUAGUUAAUACCUAGAGAUAGUGGACGUUACUCGCAGAAUAAGCACCGGCUAACUCUGUGCCAGCAGCCGCGGUAAUACAGAGGGUGCAAGCGUUAAUCGGAUUUACUGGGCGUAAAGCGCGCGUAGGCGGCUAAUUAAGUCAAAUGUGAAAUCCCCGAGCUUAACUUGGGAAUUGCAUUCGAUACUGGUUAGCUAGAGUGUGGGAGAGGAUGGUAGAAUUCCAGGUGUAGCGGUGAAAUGCGUAGAGAUCUGGAGGAAUACCGAUGGCGAAGGCAGCCAUCUGGCCUAACACUGACGCUGAGGUGCGAAAGCAUGGGGAGCAAACAGGAUUAGAUACCCUGGUAGUCCAUGCCGU
rnacentral:rRNA from 1 species